rnacentral:rRNA from 1 species
GAUGAACGCUGGCGGCGUGCCUAAUACAUGCAAGUCGAGCGAACAGACGAGGAGCUUGCUCCUCUGACGUUAGCGGCGGACGGGUGAGUAACACGUGGAUAACCUACCUAUAAGACUGGGAUAACUUCGGGAAACCGGAGCUAAUACCGGAUAAUAUAUUGAACCGCAUGGUUCAAUAGUGAAAGACGGUUUUGCUGUCACUUAUAGAUGGAUCCGCGCCGCAUUAGCUAGUUGGUAAGGUAACGGCUUACCAAGGCAACGAUGCGUAGCCGACCUGAGAGGGUGAUCGGCCACACUGGAACUGAGACACGGUCCAGACUCCUUCGGGAGGCAGCAGUAGGGAAUCUUCCGCAGUGGGCGAAAGCCUGACGGAGCAACGCCGCGUGAGUGAUGAAGGUCUUCGGAUCGUAAAACUCUGUUAUUAGGGAAGAACAAAUGUGUAAGUAACUAUGCACGUCUUGACGGUACCUAAUCAGAAAGCCACGGCUAACUACGUG